AUUGAACGCUGGCGGUAUGCUUAACACAUGCAAGUCGAACGGUAGCCGCUUCGGUGGCGAGAGUGGCGGACGGGUGAGUAACGCGUAGGAAUCUGCCUGUUAGUGGGGGACAACGUGGGGAAACCCACGCUAAUACCGCAUACGCCCUACGGGGGAAAGCGGGGGACUUUCGGGCCUCGCGCUGACAGAUGAGCCUGCGUGGGAUUAGCUGGUUGGCGGGGUAAAGGCCCACCAAGGCGACGAUCCCUAGCUGGUCUGAGAGGACGACCAGCCACACUGGGACUGAGACACGGCCCAGACUCCUACGGGAGGCUG
rnacentral:rRNA from 1 species